UAAAAGCCUCGGUGUUUUACUGCUAUCACCGGCCACUGCACUGGAGGGGAAGAGUAAGCGAGCUCUACCGAUUCUCCUUCCCUUCCCCUACCCCUGUCACGAGCAGAAGCUAUAAGGUUGUGAUGCCGUGAUGGGUCCCAAGCUUUCAAAUAUCUUACACCUACUUUAUUUAACCAGCGCGGUAAUUAUAAGCAGGUGUUGACUGGGCUUCCAAAAGUGUAAGGAUCGCUGUGUGUGUAUAGAAUUGAGACGAUGACAUGGUGUCAUGUAACUCUUCAAGCUAAAGCUAAUUGUUUCCAGGAAUAGAUCAUUUCUGCCAAAACCCAACCCUUUUUAUUCCUUUUUUUUUGUAUUGUCGAGCUUCGAGCAUGAUUUAUGAUUUUGAGUGGACGUAAACAAGGCACUUGGAUUGAUAAAAAUAUCUUUAAUUAAUUUCUUACUUCAUCACUCAAAUAACUUUUUUAUUAAAAAUUAAUAAUAUUUUUACCAUUAAUAUUUAAAGUUAAGUACCGAAAACUGCUAAAAUAGCACUAUUUUACACUUUAAAAUCCAAAUUUUUUCAGGGGGUGGACCCCCGGACCCACUGCUUUAUUGGGGGGGGGGGGGGGGGCAUGCUUCUUAACCACCCCCUCCCCCUGCCAUACGCAUAUCCUGGCUACGCCACUGGUAAUAGGAGCUUACCUUAUAUUGGUUGCACUUGGUUAUGAAAAAAAAAAGGUUUUAUUAUAUCUCAUACUUCCAUCAUUGUAGCAAGAUUAAAUAUACAUCAGUUUUAAGUCGUUAAUAAUAAGUUUUUUGUAACCAACCUGUCUCACUACUGUUUGUUAAGCAUUGAUCUAAUACAGAAAUAAUCUAGAGUUCUACCUCAAACUCUUUGUAUGGGUUCAUAAAUUUUACAAAAAAUUAUAUUGUAUAAGUUAUGUAUAAGUUUUUACUUGUUCACCGGGAGCCAAGGCCGUGGCUUCCGCCUGUGACCAAUGAGCGUGUUCCGCGGGCUCGUGGAGAGGGGAGGGACGCGGGCGCUCUGUCGCGCGAGGCGGGGAAGGGGUCCGUCGGCAGCUGGGCGCGGGAGACAUCGGACGUGUCUGCGCAUCGCUCCAAGACGGUGAGAGCGGAACGGGCGCGGUGUCUUGCUGUAAUUCAAGCCUUGCCGAGGAGAAGGAAUUUCACUUCCUACAGUCGUAUUGUCAUUGUCCAUUGGGUGGUAACUCUAUUUACGAAACAAGAACAAAGUUAGGCAAGUAGUUAUACUGCCAUCCGCUAGAUGGCAGGUACGUGGCCAAAAUGGCUGUAGGAAAUUUUCGUGUUUCAUGUGUUUGAUCGAGUGUGGAAAUUCCGGCUGCCAUAUUGAAUAAUAAAUUUGAUGUCAGACAGCAUAUAAGGUUCGCAGACUUGCCAACCUUUACGAUUUUUUCGUAAAAUGUACGAAAAUUAUGUCCGUUUUACGAUUGUACGAGGAUGUCUGCAUUUUUUACGAAUUUUAAGUACGAGACGUUUAUUAAAACAUGUAUUUUCCGCCCGCCUUAAAUGUUUUAUUGUAUGGUUUGUAAAAGCUGUUGCCAUGUGUUGUUGCUGUGGAAACGAGUGCGGUAAUUGAGUUAUAUUAUUGGUCGAAGGCCAGCAAACCACGUAAUUUGUUGUUCGAUUAUACAUCUUUCCUUAUUGGCCGCCUGAGUUACAUUGAUGCGCUUACAACCAAUCACGAACCAGUUUAAAUAGAAUUUUUGUUUGGCAAUAUGGUGUCGUGCAUUAGUGUAUGUUAUGUUUCUUCAGUUAAAGUUGAGCCAUUUAUGAUUUUGUUUAUUACAGGUAAGGAAACAAAUUUAUUGCAUUUUUUUUUAAUAAAAACGUGUUAUGUGCACAAUUAACGGAAGUGGAAUCAAGUGAAGAAGAAAAUGCCCCCGAAACGUGAUACGCAUUAUUCUCAGGCAUUUCGCGAUACAUACACGCGGGAUUUUCCGUGUAUUCUUAAAUCAAGCAAGGGAACACAGUUCGCAUUUUUUCCAGUGUGUAGAUGCGACAUCAACAUUGGGCACGGCGGAAGAUAUGACAUCAAUCUCCACGUGAACUGUUCAAAACAUCUCGCAAAUGUUAAAAGUUUCGCAUUCAGUUCAAAGGUUAGUGAUUAUUUCGCUAAAAAUAACAGCACAGACAAUGCUGUAAUACGUGCAGAAUGUAUGUUUACAAACUUUUUGGUUGAACAUAAUAUUCCUUUAAAUGUUUCGGAUCACGCCGGCCCGUUAUUCAGAAAAUUUUUUUGAAAUUAUGAAGUAGCAAAAAUAUUUGCUUGCGCAAGAACAACGUCGACGGCUAUCGUGAAAGAAAUGGCAACAGAUGCAACUAUAAAAUUGUUUGUAAUUUACAAACUGUGGCAUUUUAAGUCGCGACCGACGGCAGCAAUGACUCUGAAUCCAAAUUAUAUCCACUAGUAGUAACAUUCUGUGAUGCAAGUUUGAAAAUGAUAGUGUCAAGGUUGCUUUCAUUACUAGUACUCCAGGGAGAUUCCACUGGAAGUUAACUGAUAUCAGUGUAUAUUGUAACAGAGGUACACACUGUUGAUUUGUAGGGUACCACAAGGAACUAAGUUUUUUCUUUGAUGUGAUACUAAGCAAAAAUGUUUCCAUGAUGGUAAAUAAUGAGAAUGAUUGUUGGUCUGCAAUGAUGUUAAUGUAUGUUAAAACUAUUACAUAAUUUCGAUUACUAGAAAAAAUGUGAUAUCAUGAAAGUUUAUUUUUUUCAAUUGCCGCGAGCAGUUUACGCGUGUUAUAUUAUUUUUCAUGUAUUUUACUAAUUGAGGGUUUCAAAAGUUGGCAAGUCUGGGUUCGUUAAUUUUAUUUUUCUAAUUAUUCUGUUGAAAUGCGACAAAAAUGACACGUAAACAAAGCUGUUGCGUUCCCGGUUGUGAAGACACCGACAGUGUACUUCAUCGCUUCCCAAUACGUUGUGAACACAUUUACAAUGUUUGGUUGCAAAGAAUUGCGAAUCUUAAAUUACAUGGUUUGCAGAAAGAAACCGUUUGGGCAACGUAUCGAAUUUGUGGUAGGCACUUCAUCCAAGACUGCAAGAAUCCCGGCACAAGUCAGCUGAAGAUAUAUUCUUUGCCAUCUUUGCAUCUUCCAGGUAGGUAUUUGUGCCUUGAUAUAGUUUGCCGUAUUUGACGUGUAUCUUACCUUUUCAAUUUUUGACAUUUUCAUUCUGUAGCCUACUGAUUAAUGUUGCUAGCCAGUUUAAGAAAUCUAUAUGAGGCCAUAUAAAGUUAUGGAUGGAGUAAAUUAACCGAAAACAAUAAAUAUAUUAGCUAGCACAUAACAAGAACAAAGUACUAGUUCUAGUACUUAAGUUACUCUUUAGGCCUGUUUUAUUUAUCAUUUUCUUGUUUAAUGCAUUAGGUUAUUGGCCAUUAUUAACUAUAUAAGUUACAUGCUUAGAUGAUUAUAUAAAAUAGUAGGUGCUAGUCAUUUACUGUAGUGAAGUUACCUGUAUACUUAAUGACUUUUAAAACCAGCAGAUCUACAGUUUUACCACAAUAGAGGUUAUGAACUCAUUUAUCGUACAGCCUUUGGUAUGUUAGAUUAUUUAUUGUUAAAAUAAUUUGUAAUAACUACAUAAUGUACCAUACUGUUUCUGUCGUAAAGUGUUUACCAGUGCUUUGUUGUUUUGACAGGUUUCAGUGAGAAGGGAACAGCUGAAAACUCAUUUUAUAUCCCCCGGAUGUAGCUGAAAAAGUGGAACAGCAGAGAAGAUACAAAGGAAUCACCCCACUGGAGGACUGCAAUCUUUCAUUACAUUCUAAUGAACAGCCAUGCCAAAACCUAGAAAGCAGAUUCCAAACUCAUUGCGCAGGAAACAACACAGCAGGAGGUUUGAGACACUGCUCGAGAACUCCGAGGAAAGCCUCUCGUGUUACAUCAAGCAGAAGUAGCCUUCUGAAAUUAGUUGGUGUGACAAGAAAACAUGAGCUCACUCCCAAAGCCAGCAAGUUAUUUGGCGAGGCUCAGAAAUUGAAGAAGAUUUCAAAACUUCUGGACAAGAAAGUCAAGUCUUUCAGGGCAAGAGUGCGGCUGGCUGAGAAAAUCAGCACAGUUGACUGUUUCAACAACCUCAUUUCCACGGAUGAUAAAGUAGUCUUAAACUUCAUUCGACUUGACUAGUGUCCAACUUAACUGCAACUUUCGGAAUAGCUUUGGAACAUUUUUUUAUUAAUCUCAUAUUUGGUUUCAUUCACUAUUUGUAUGUGCUGGAGUGGCCUAUUGUGAAUUUUAAUGAAUCGUCUGUUGCGUUGUUCCCUAUACCUGUUUGUUAUUUGUUAGUGCAGAAUUUCCUGUCAUAUUUUAUUUUAUUAUUUCUCAGAGAAAUUUAAAAUUCAAUUUAAUCAGUUUGUUUUAUUUUGUAGGUACCAUUUUCUAUAAUAUUGUGGGAGCUAUUGGUAAUGUAAAUGGUAAAUGUUAUUAAUCAGUGUUACUAGUUUUUAAGCUUGACUAGUGUUUGUUUUGUUGCAAUAUGGUACAUCAUUUGUUACUAUGGAUUUUAGGUAGAUUUCAAAGAAAUACUACCUAUUGUAGUGGUUACCAUGGUGCGACUUCUGAAAAUUUUUUAUAUAGUUUUUCGCUUCUUGGUCCAUAGACCUCAAAACCCCUGUCAAUUCAAAAGUUAUAUAUACAUAUAUAUACAUACAUACAUAUGUAUGUGUAUGUGUGUGUGUAUUGUGUGUGUGUGUGUAUAUAUAUAUAUGUGUGUGUGUGUAUGUAUAUAUAUAUAUAUAUAUAUAUAUAUAUAUAUAUGUGUGUGUGUGUGUGUGUAAUCACUUUCUUGUUGACACAAUAACUGUCGUAAUUUUUCCAAUAUCAAUCCCAAACUGAUACAUAAAAUCUAAAUGUAGAAAAUCUCGGUUGAGUUCGUUAAUGGAAAAUAUCCGACCAAAGGGCUAGAAAUGGGGAAGGUUUUUCAAAGAAAACAUAUAUAUUGUUCUAUCUCCGUAAUAUUGAAAAUACUACAUCCGUUUGACCAUAUUAAAACUUGUAGGAGUAAUAAAAAAAAUUUUUUUUUUUUUUAAUAUUUUUGAUAUGACUAACCAUAACUGAAAUGUUGAAAAAACAAGGGUUUGCAUGCAAAAUAAUUCAUAACUCUUUCUGUAGGCAUAAUUUUGAAUUUGUACAAAUUAUGUAUUUUUCUUACAAUUUUUAUCCAAAACUUUAGCAUCUCAAUUUUUUAUUAGAUGAAUUAUUAAUGCAAGGGUUGAAGAAAUUAGGGUUAAAAUUAAAAAAAAUUCAGAACUCCCUCAGCAGCUACACUAUGAAAUCCGUUCAAAUUAUUUGUAAUUCUUAUAAUUUUUAUCCAAAACCUUUGUCUGAAACAAAUUAUUGACAGGCGAACUAUUCUUGCAGGAUGUUGAAAAAAUAAAGGGGUAUAAUUUACAAAAAAUUAUAAUUAAUGUACCGUCUAUACUGUUAAAUCCGUUCUUUUUUAUCGAGACACCUUAAUUUAUUAUGUACAUAUUUUGUCUGAAAAAAUUUUUAUUCAAUCAACCACAACUGCAAAGAAUUGAGUUGAAAAAACAAGGGUUGUUGGACAAAAAAAAACUAUAACUUCUUUCAUAGGCACAACAUAGAAUUCGAACAAAUUGUGUAUUAAUCUUAUAAUUUUUAUCUAAAACUUUUGUCAGGAGUGAUUUUUGGUCGGAGGAACUAUUGCUGCAAGGGUUUGUAAAAAAUAACGGGUAGAAUUUUAAAAAAUCAUAAUUCUUUAAGAUCUACACUAUCAAUUCCGUUGUUGUUUAUUGUGAAACCUUAAAUCAUAUAUAACUUUCGUCUGAAAUAAUUUUUAAUGACCAACCAUUACUCCAAGGGGUAAAAUAAACAAGGGUUGUAGGAUAAAAAAAAAAGUAACUCCCUUCUAAGUUACAACAUCGAAUUCGUACAAAUUGUGUAUUAAUCUUAUAAAUUUUAUCUAAUAGCUUUGCCUGAAACAAUGUUUCAUUUAAAGUACUAAUUUUGUAAGGGAUUGUAAAAUGAUGGGGUAGAAUUUAAAAAAAAAUCAUAACUCCCAUAGUGGUGUACUUUCAAAUCCAUUCAAAAUAUUAAAUCUAAUAAUGUUACCUUAAAACUUUUGUCUGAAAAAAUUUUUUAUAUCACAACCCAUUAUUUAAAGGGAUCAAAAUAACAAAGGUAGAAAAACAAAAUGUCAUUGCUUUUUUUUAAUAUGCUGACUUUCAAGUUCACUAUAAUUUAUUGUAAAAAUUACUAAAUUUUAUCUAAAACCUUUGGUUGAAAAUAUUUUUGAUGAAACAAACUAUUGCCAUUAAAACAGGGGUUGAUCUUGAAAAAAAAAAACAGUUAAACCUUUUCAGUAUCAAAUUUGUUGGAAUUUAUUAAUAACCAUAUUAAGAUUACCUUAUAUUCAUGUCAGAAAAAAAUUUAUAUGACAUUAGUGUGCAAGAGAUGGAAAACAGUGUUUGAAGAUCAAAAAUAAUUGCAUGAUUACCUUAGUAGGCAUAUUAUGAAAUUAUUUUAAAAAGACAUUCAUUCCUGGAUGUAUUCAGUUAAAAACAUUGAAAAUAUUUUCACUGCAUGGAAUAUGUUAAAUGGAUAAUUUGUUUAAUAUUGACGAAUAGAUAGGUAUUUAUAUUGGAUAUAUUAAGUUCUUAAAAUGAUCAAGGAGUUUAUAGAAGUUAAAAAAUAUUUCACGAGGAACUAGUUACUUUGAAAUCUAUAUAUGUAUGCCUGUUAGCUGUGCCAUAAGGGAGUUUUUGUGAUGCAAGUGUUUGUGAAGUGUUUUAUUUUAUUUUGAUUUGUAUACAUAUAUGAAAUAUAAUAAUUUGAAAUCAAUAAAACGAGACUAUC